rnacentral:rRNA from 1 species
GAUGAACGCUAGCGGCAGGCUAACACAUGCAAGUCGAGGGAGAAGCCCUUCGGGGCAGAAACCGGCGCACGGGUGCGUAACGCGUAUGCAACCUACCUUUCACAGGGGGAUAGCCCGAAGAAAUUUGGAUUAAUACCCCAUAAUAUUGUUGGAUGGCAUCAUUUUGCAAUUAAAACUGCGGUGGUGAGAGAUGGGCAUGCGUCCUAUUAGCUAGUUGGAGUGGUAACGGCACCCCAAGGCUACGAUAGGUAGGGGUCCUGAGAGGGAGAUCCCCCACACUGGUACUGAGACAGGGACCAGACUCCUACGGGAGGCAGCAGUGAGGAAUAUUGGUCAAUGGUCGGAAGACUGAACCAGCCAUGCCGCGUGCAGGAAGAAUGCCUUAUGGGUUGUAAACUGCUUUUAUAUGGGAAGAAUAAGGUGUACGAGUACAUUGAUGACGUAUCCAUAUGAAUAAGCU